CAGCCGCCGCGGUAAUACAUAGGGUGCGAGCGUUGUCCGGAUUUAUUGGGCGUAAAGCGAGCGCAGGCGGUUAGAUAAGUCUGAAGUUAAAGGCUGUGGCUUAACCAUAGUACGCUUUGGAAACUGUUUAACUUGAGAGCAAGAGGGGAGAGUGGAAUUCCAUGUGUAGCGGUGAAAUGCGUAGAUAUAUGGAGGAACACCGGUGGCGAAAGCGGCUCUCUGGCUUGUAACUGACGCUGAGGCUCGAAAGCGUGGGGAGCAAACAGGAUUAGAUACCCCUGUAGUCCCUGUCUCUUAUACA
rnacentral:rRNA from 1 species